GCGACGGUAGCUCAGCCGGGAUGAGCGCUUCCUUCACACGGAAGAGGUCACGUGUUCGAUCCACGUCCGCCGCA
rnacentral:tRNA from 1 species